rnacentral:rRNA from 1 species
UACGAAGGACCCGAGCGUUAUCCGGAUUUAUUGGGUUUAAAGGGUGCGUAGGCGGAUUAGUAAGUCAGUGGUGAAAGCCCGUCGCUCAACGGCGGAACUGCCAUUGAUACUGCUAGUCUUGAGUAUGGUUGAGGUGGGCGGAAUGUGUCAUGUAGCGGUGAAAUGCUUAGAUAUGACCCAGAACACCAAUUGCGAAGGCAGCUCGCUAAGCCAUAACUGACGCUGAUGGCACGAAAGCGUGGGGAGCAAACAGG